rnacentral:tRNA from 1 species
CGGGGUGUGGCGCAGUGGCUAGCGCGCUACGUUCGGGACGUAGAGGCCGGAGGUUCAAAUCCUCUCACCCCGA